UACGGAGGGUGCAAGCGUUAUCCGGAUUCACUGGGUUUAAAGGGUGUGUAGGCGGGUUAUUAAGUCAGUGGUGAAAUCUCCGAGCUUAACUUGGAAACUGCCAUUGAUACUAAUAGUCUUGAAUAUUGUUGAGGUGGGCGGAAUACAUCAUGUAGCGGUGAAAUGCUUAGAUAUGAUGUAGAACACCGAUUGCGAAGGCAGCUCACUAAGCAAAUAUUGACGCUGAGGCACGAAAGCGUGGGGAUCAAACAGG
rnacentral:rRNA from 1 species